UAUCGAAAGAUAAGAGAUUCCUAAACCAUGCCUCUAUGUUUAUAUUCGACAUCUUCAGCGCCCCCGCGAAGCUCACAUCUCGCGGAAGAACUCUCGAAACAGAUCUCGAAUGAAACAUUUCACAGUCGAAGAAGGAUAUGAGACGACAACUCAUCGCCUUCCUUCCCACAUUACACAAACUCAUAAAAAGUGCCAUUUGAUUAUCUUAUCAUAAAAAGCCGCAGAGCGGCA
rnacentral:lncRNA from 1 species